AAUAAUCCUCGUAAUAAAUUAGGUUCCUGUACAUAAUUUAAAUUUUAUAUUGUGACGCUUGCUAAUUGAAGAGGACGAUGUAGAAGAAAUUUUGAAAUUGUUUACAUAUAUCCUAUUUAGUAUUUAAUUUGUAAUUUGAGGAUUAAUUUGGAUUUUAUAGAUAAUUUUUUUCUAGUUAAUUUUGAAAAGAAAGCAAAUCGACGCUAGAGGGAAGCACUGAAGGGAAGCAUGUUGAGGAAUGGAGUAAUGAGUUGUUCAUAAUGAGGAUGAAUUCUCAUAUUUCCUUCAGUCAUAUAAAAAAUUCAAGGAAAACUCGUCAUUUUUAAUGAUAUUGGAUAUGAAUGUAGUUUUAAUUUGUCACGUAAUAUUAAUAAUUUUAGUUAAAUUUUAAGAAAUUUUAAAAUUUUCUUGCUUUGUUUACAUCUCAGAAUGUAUGUUUUAAGCCACUUCGGGAUAAAUCUUUGUUGACUUUCAGCAGCAUGAAUUACUUAGCAGAUUAAAUUUAUUUUUAAAUGUUUUGUUUUUUUCCCCUUUCAAUUUUUUUUUGGUUGCCAUAAAAAGUUGAGCAGUGAUUUUAAAAUUAAAUAAUAAGUUAUCAGUGAGAUUAUGAUGUGGACAUUGUCAUUUGAUGUGUCAUCACCAAAAAUGUCAAGAGUCACCUAUUAGUGGGUGCAAACUCUGCUCCUUUGUCAUUGUCACUAGUUCUUUUCUUCCACUGUCAGUUUGAUAACUUUGGCGUUAGGAGUUGUCAUCCGUACUCUGGAGGUUCUCUCGCUUGCAUUGGAAAGGGCAAUCAAAACGUCUUGUCCGGCAAAGGUUCUCUGCAACCGCUUCUGCUCGGUCCUUGCAACAGCCGUCACGUGUCGCCGAGUUUAUUGACGUCUCGGAACACAGAUGCGGACGACAGCCACCACGUAGAGAACAAGGUGUACAAAAUGAGCAGAUUUGUCAGGCACGGUCACUGCCAGAAUGUUAGUAGCUGUGAUGAACAUGCAUCUCACACUUGUUAUUGAAGUGUCCAAACUUGAUUGGGUUUAUCAGUAUUGAUUCUAAAACUAUUGAUGAACGAGUAUUGCGGAUUCCUCAAAGUUAAUGACACGUGAUAUUGCAUUGCCUUUUAUUCCCGGAAUACUUUGGAGAGAUGAGAACCGUAUCUAUUUUCAAGAUGGGAUACACCAUUAAAUUAAUAAUUUCUGUCAAAUGUAAUAAUUAUGAAGGAAAGAAACAUUUCAAAAGAAUGUCAACAUGUAACAGUUUUUGAAUCAAUCUUUGAAUAAAUCAACAGUAGUUUGCAACAAAAUGGAACAUUUCCAUUCAAAGAAUAUAAUUUAUACAUACCACUUGUUUCAUAUUCAAAUUUUGUUAACAUGUUCUGUAUCCUUGCACAUCCAUUUUGUCAUUUUGUUCUUCAAAGUGAGAUUAUUUAUAAAACAAUAAAUGACAAAAAUGUCAUCUUUAUAAAAAUUGCUUAUUUGGUUGACAUAUAAUAAAAUAGCAUCAUCAAAUAUAUAAAAUAAAAUUACU